GCUUGACUGCGAGACAGACACGUCGAGCAGGUACGAAAGUAGGUCUUAGUGAUCCGGUGGUUCUGUAUGGAAGGGCCAUCGCUCAACGGAUAAAAGGUACUCCGGGGAUAACAGGCUGAUACCGCCCAAGAGUUCAUAUCGACGGCGGUGUUUGGCACCUCGAUGUCGGCUCAUCACAUCCUGGGGCUGAAGCCGGUCCCAAGGGUAUGGCUGUUCGCCAUUUAAAGUGGUACGCGAGCUGGGUUUAGAACGUCGUGAGACAGUUCGGUCCCUAUCUGCCGUGGACGUUUGAGAUUUGAGAGGGGCUGCUCCUAGUACGAGAGGACCGGAGUGGACGAACCUCUGGUGUUCCGGUUGUCACGCCAGUGGCAUUGCCGGGUAGCUAUGUUCGGAAAAGAUAACCGCUGAAAGCAUCUAAGCGGGAAACUUGCCUCAA
rnacentral:rRNA from 1 species